CGGCGGACGGGUGAGUAACGCGUGGGUAACCUGCCUCAUACAGGGGGAUAACAGUUAGAAAUGACUGCUAAUACCGCAUAAGACCACGGAGCCGCAUGGCUCAGUGGGAAAAACUCCGGUGGUAUGAGAUGGACCCGCGUCUGAUUAGGUAGUUGGUGGGGUAACGGCCUACCAAGCCAACGAUCAGUAGCCGACCUGAGAGGGUGGCCGGCCACAUUGGGACUGAGACACGGCCCAA
rnacentral:rRNA from 1 species